rnacentral:lncRNA from 1 species
UGAGAUUUGACAAUCAAAGUGUUGAGUUCAUCCCACUGUUUCUUCAUCUUUAUGUAAUAACCAGUGAUAUCAAGGGCUCCUUGGGACAUAUCAUUGAUUUCCUUUUAGAUUUGGUAUAGUUUGUUCAAUUUUUCCGAUCAUAUUGAUCUUCUAGUUCUUUCCAUAAUUCAGCUGCAUCUGCUACAUACUCAACACUAAGGAAUUUAGAAUCCAUGAAGUGGCGAUGUCAUCGCAUCUCUGCCUUAAUCAAAAUUUUGAUGAAUCUAGAUCUGGCCUCUUGCAUUCUCCGUUGAUAAAUCCCAGCUUAUUUUUCACUGACAGGGCUCGUAUUACACUCCUUCCCUAUAAACGGUAUCCAAAACCAUCAAAAGGAACAUGAACCAAAGUUAUUCCGGGAUUAUCAUAUGGAUGCAUG